rnacentral:lncRNA from 1 species
GGCUGGACGCCACGCUCGCGCACAUAUGGGCGACGCGAGGUUCUGCCUGGUGGAGCGCGCGUCGCAUGAGGGAUGCGAGGCGGUGAACACCUUCGACGAUGACGAUGCGUGCGCGCUCCAUGUCACCACCUUCGCCGUCAGAUACGACAGUCACGGGGACCUGACGGUGGCGGAUCGCCACCACGCCGGCUCCUACGUGGUGUCCACGCA